ACACUGAAACACCGGCUCCCGUAUGAUCAACAAAGUUAAGCAACGUCGAGCAUGGUCAGUACUUAGAUGGGUGACCGAUUGGGAAUACCAGGUGUU